AGAGUUUGAUCCUGGCUCAGGACGAACGCUGGCGGCAUGCCUAAUACAUGCAAGUCGAGCGGACUUGAUGAGAAGCUUGCUUCUUUGAUAGUUAGCGGCGGACGGGUGAGUAACACGUAGGCAACCUGCCCUCAAGUUUGGGACAACUACCGGAAACGGUAGCUAAUACCGAAUAAUUGUUUUCUUCGCCUGAAGGGAACUGGAAAGACGGAGCAAUCUGUCACUUGGGGAUGGGCCUGCGGCGCAUUAGCUAGUUGGUGAGGUAACGGCUCACCAAGGCGACGAUGCGUAGCCGACCUGAGAGGGUGAUCGGCCACACUGGGACUGAGACACGGCCCAGACUCCUACGGGAGGCAGCAGUAGGGAAUCUUCCGCAAUGGGCGAAAGCCUGACGGAGCAAUGCCGCGUGAGUGAUGAAGGUUUUCGGAUCGUAAAGCUCUGUUGCCAGGGAAGAACGCUUGGGAGAGUAACUGCUCUCAAGGUGACGGUA
rnacentral:rRNA from 1 species